ensembl:lncRNA
GUGAAAAGGAGAAUGAUUUAUUUAUUUUUUUUACACACUGUAGUGAAUUACUUUUAGCACUGGGUGAGUCUUUGCACUGAUGGGAACCAUGUAAACGUUCAGAGAGAUUCAUUAUCACUUUGUCAAGCAUUUCCAUCCACUCAUGAAUCUGGUUACAAAUGAAAGAAAGAAUGAAAGAAGUAAAGGGACUGUUUUGCGCUGAGCUUACCUGGCACUUCUGCUGUGACGUGGUGCCUGUCAUCCUUUGAAUAUGUUUUCCAGCUGUUUCAUACUUGUGUCUCUCUAUACUUGAGGAGAGGGGAAAUCACACUGUCCGACUUACCAGCUGUUCUUGGUGUUAUCUGGACUAGUUUUAGUGCCCGGGAGGGAAUAUUGUUCCUUCAUGAAUUAUGAAACUCCCGUACAGUUCAUGGUACUGUUGUGAGGUUGUGUGAAAUCUGCCACGUGGCCGUUCUGUUCUUGUCUUGGAGAUGUGGCUAUCUUUUGAAGAAAUCAUUAUUGACUAAAUACGUCUAGACUUGAGAAAAUAAUACCACAGAACCUUAUCGUAGGGAUCAUCCUUACAAAUGCAUCACGAUCUCUCACGAUUCAUGAACCUAUGUACUGCGAAAUAAUGCUUUCCUACGAAUGAUCCCAGUGCGGGUUUCCCUUUGUUACGCCUUGAAGGUGAGUUUUCCUUUCAUACGCACGUGAAUAUCUACCUGCACAGAGGAGUGUGUGAAUAGCAAAGCCCUAGGGAGAAUUAAAUAACACUCAUCCCGUACUUCCAGUUGAUUUGCUUCCGAUGUGCCCAUUAAUCGACUGCAAGAGGUUCCUAUGAGACUUUUUAAAACUACACCUGAAUGUAAAGACUCCUUACGGAUGUGAGGUAUACUGUAACGUUUACAUUCAAACGGAUGGCUGAGGAUGAGACAAAAAAAAAAGUGUGGUAGCAAAGAGAGUUAUAUCUUGAUUUUUGCAUAGAGAUGUUUUCAGGCACUGAGAACGCGCCCGUGCGUUUGUGCUGUCAAAGAAGAAAUAAGCAGUAUGAGCGUUCCCGGGAUCAAAAAAAGAUUCAAUUGUAAAUAUUUGGCAUUAGCACACCAAUCCAGAACAAGAAGAAAGCCUGAGGCGUUCUGUGGGAGCCAGUUACGGCAGCUGCCUCGGAGAGCCCUCUAUGAAUGGCUUUAUUGUAUUGCCCUCUACCGGAAUUACCGAGGACUGCAGACUGAUGCUCAGCGCGGAGAAAAAACUCGGGCGGGAGCUGCGUGAGGCGGAUACAAAUACGGUGUUUCACACUGCUUGGCAGAACCGCAGGGUCGAAUGCUUCUGGAUUUGCAGUCCAAAGAGGGUCUCGGGUUUUGUUCUGUCUUAGUGACUUUAGAGAAGAUUCCGUGUAUGCAGAAGUGAGACCCAAAGUUCUAAACUUGCCCAGAAAAUGGAUAACGUAUCCUUGAACUUUCAGGAAAAGAAAAAAAGAAAGCUUUCUGAGUUGCAGAGGUAGAUGGUUUCAGAGCUGAUGAGAGAACUGCUGUGUGAAACUGUGAGGAAAAGGUCUCUUUGGGUCCUGUGCCACAGAUUAUGAUUAUGAUUAUUAUUAAUUAUUAUGUUUGCAUUCAAAAAGAAUGCUCAGCUUUUCCUUACUGAUAGGCUUUUAUUAUUACUAUUUAUAUUCAUCCAGCGCUUGACUGAGACCAUUUUCCCCCUUAAAGGUGUAGGUCACUCAAUGCAUACUUGGUUACUGAGAUGUAAGGAAGAAAUGAAUCCCACGAAGGUGCAUUCUGAUCUUAAACCAAGAAAGGGAUUUUAAUGUUUGGCCCACCCUGAACCCACGGUGAAAUCUUCAGUGUUUCUCCCUCCACAGGUGCCUAAAUCCUACUGCUGUUAUACCACGAGCCUGUUAUUCCUGUUGUCACAGCUUUGGUUGGAUGACUUGAACUUUUAAACUAAAUUAUAAAAAAUAAGUCAGAAAUGGACCGAAAGGAGAACUUUUACUGAUGCAGCUCUCACAUGGAAAGACUGACCCAAGGCACUGCUUAAAGAAAGUUUUGCAUGAAAUUAUUGAAAGUAUUUCAUUACUGUACAGGUGAAUUCACCGAUUUUACGCAUUGGAAUAAUCCCUUAGAAGAAAACCUUCUUUCCAUACGAGGAAUUGGAGAAUGUGUGAGUUACUCGUGGCAGCAAGCUGAAGAUCUGACUCGUUUUGUGUAAAAGAUGGAAGAUCAGGUCACGACUCUCGGCCCGGUAAGGUGCAGCAGCUGUAGUUUUGUUCCACCCAUUUAACUCACAGGUUUUGUACUCUUGUUCAGCCUCAGCAAGGUCAUCCAAGCCUUUGAAAGGAAAAGAAAAGCAAUAUUGAAAGGACAGAUUUAAAGAACCGAGCUAAUAGAGUUUUGUAUUUGUCGGAUUUCUCACACGUAAGCCACCAGAACAUCUGUAAGGAAACAGGCACUUUUAGGUGUUCUCCCUUCCGAGGGCUAUUUAGCAGUCCUACAGUACUGUCCACGGUUUGUGGUGUCAUCCUUGCAGGAACCGAGAAUUUACAAGCGUCAUUUUGCUUGUCUUGUAAGAAGAGUAAGAAAUAGGUAGCAGUCCCUUAAUUCUUCUAACCUAGUUUAGAAUCAAUUAAUUAAUCAGUAGCUGUGACUAAUUACUCACUUCCAAUUAACCUGGAAACUGUUACAAAAUGAAGCCAGAGAACAUGACUUCCAUGGUAACCGGUAAGUUUCUGCAGUGAAUUGGUGACGCAACCUAUGUGAUAUUACAUACCCUAUCUACGCUUACCUUAACAAUAGAGAAGGUGAUUUAUUUUGUAAGUUUGUGUUGUGCAGCUUUAUUUAUUUGUUUAUUUAUUUUAGUGCCUAUAUAGUCCUCUACCAACUGUGCUGUUGUAUUUCAAGGGGAGUUUAUGGUCUGUAUUUUAUUACUUGUUAGAAUACUAGCUCGAAAAAGUUAAUAAACCGUACAUGAGUCCAGCGAUGUGACCGUUAACUAACUGGAACACUUUGCCUCACUGAGGACUUGAAAAUCACCAGAUACGAACGCAUUGCUUGUGCAACGAAUACUUUUCCAAAGCUGAAUAGAAUGUCAUCAAAAGAAAAGCUGAUCAAAACCCACGUCAGUGCUCUGGUCUUAACUUAGGAAUGGCUUACGUUGUUGUAUCUAUGUGAUGUUAAAAAACAAAACAAAACAAAAAAAAAAACAAUUGGCUUGGCCUCUGUUGACUGAUUGCGAUCACAGUAUGGCUCAGACCUCAAAGAUCAUCGAGCUCGAAUGCCUCCACCACCGGCCGGGCUGCCACCCACUCAAUUGGGCUGCCCAGAGAGCCACAUCCAGCCUGGCCUCGAACGCCUCCGGAGACGCGUCAUUCACAACCUCCCUGGGCAUCCUGUGUCAGUGCCUCAAUACCUCGAGUAAGAAAUUCCUGCCUCCUAAUAUCUAACCUAAAUCUUCCCUCUUUUCGUUUAAAGCCAUUCCACCUUGUUCUGUCACUAUCAGGUUGUAGCGGAAAUGCCAAAUCACAGCUUGAAUCACAGGUGAUUGCGCACCUGGUGGGAAGGCAGGGCCAACCCAGGGGACCUCAGGUGCACUCAAUGCAGCUGAGUGACCGGGAGGGGUGGAGCCAGGAUCCGCCCCUUCCCAGGCCUCAUUUAAGGGUCAGCAGUGGAGGUGAGGGUGUCUUGCUGGUGUUUCUUAUAUCCUUGAGGCCCUCUGAAGGUAAGCAGCUGCUUUUGUUUGUUUCUGCACCCACGGCUGUUGUGCUUGGGCUUGUUCUCUUUUGCUGCAGCCGUGGGCUUUGCCACCCUGCUGUUAUUGGUGUACUUUCCAUCGUGUUACAGUGUUACGCAGACCCUGUAAAAAGUUGGUCCUCCUCCUGUUUAUAAGAUACCUUCAAGUGCUAGAAGCCACAGUGAAGCAUUUUCUUCUCCUUGGUAAGCAAAAUCAAGUUCCAUCAACAACUUUUCUUGAUAGGAACAGUACUAAAGCUCUUUGCUCAUCUUUGUGGCCUUCCCCUGGACCCACUCCAUCAGCCCCACGUUCUCUCUCGUGCUGAGGGCCCCAGGCACAGGUCUCCAGAUAGAGCGCUGUGAGGGCAGAGUAGAGGGGGGACGAUUGCCUCCCUGUCUUGUUGCAGCCCAGGAUACCCUUGGUUUUCUGGGCUGGAAGUGCACUCUGCUGGCUCACACGGAGCUUCUAGUAUGCUGGAACCCUCAAGUUCUUCUCUGCAGGGCUGAUCUCAGUGACUUCUCCUCCUGGUCUGAGCUCGUAUCUAGCAAGGUCCUGACCCUUGGGAUGCGUGUUAUCGGGCCCCAUAGCCUUGUACGCACUCAGUCUCAUUGGGUGGUCUCAGACUCGCUCUUCUCUUACUGGGUGAGGGAUUUGAAUCCUCCAGCCCCCAGCCGGAGGUUUGUGAACAUGAGAGCUAUGGAAAUCCUGACCGCUAGCAAAGACUAAAGCGAGGAACUCAUUGAGCACUUCAGCCUUCCUUCCAUCUGUCGUUGCCCUUUCUCACUUAUGAGAGUGAGUAUGCUUUCCUUGUUCCUUUCUCUUGUGAGCAGUGUACCUGUAGAAAUCCCUUCCUGUUUCUUGUUUGUUUGUUUUUAAAUCUCCUGCCGAAUUCAGUGUCAUCUGAACUGUCGAGGGCUGGAGAACUCUCGUGCUCUCAGAAAGGCAUCCUUAAAGCGCUCCUUUCGUGCUCCUUUCUAACUCAGCGCUUGGGUAUAGAUAUACAUAUAUGAAGUUAUUUUUUUCUUCUUCUUCAUAUGGAGUGUUGUACUCAAUUUUAUGUAGUUAUUGCAUAAUGAGCCUCCUCUGCCUGAGUUAAGUGAAAGCUGUGAAGCGCAUUGAGUGUUGCAGAAGCAGAACCUGUCUGAAAUAAUGCUGCUUGGCUGGCUUUGUUGCCUUUUGGUGUGUGUGCGUGUGGGGGGGGAAUCGAGGAGAGCAACAGAUCUUUUUGUUUUAUGAGGCUUCCCUGAUGACAGGGCUUUUAAUAUUGGAACUUGUUUUCUACGGGAGGGUUCUUCUUUGUUGUUUAUAGUCUUUGGGAUUCUACAUGCUAUUCAGAAACAAUUGCUCAGAGGUAGGUAACUUAUGGUGAACCUGUUUCAUUCCCUGUCAAGUCUCAACAGAGAAGAGUGUGGUGUUACCUGAUACCUCUGUGGAGAUAGC